rnacentral:rRNA from 1 species
UGGGGAAUAUUGCACAAUGGGCGCAAGCCUGAUGCAGCCAUGCCGCGUGUGUGAAGAAGGCCUUCGGGUUGUAAAGCACUUUCAGCGAGGAGGAAGGUGGUGAACUUAAUACGUUCAUCAAUUGACGUUACUCGCAGAAGAAGCACCGGCUAACUCCGUGCCAGCAGCCGCGGUAAUACGGAGGGUGCAAGCGUUAAUCGGAAUUACUGGGCGUAAAGCGCACGCAGGCGGUUUGUUAAGUCAGAUGUGAAAUCCCCGGGCUCAACCUGGGAACUGCAUUUGAAACUGGCAAGCUAGAGUCUCGUAGAGGGGGGUAGAAUUCCAGGUGUAGCGGUGAAAUGCGUAGAGAUCUGGAGGAAUACCGGUGGCGAAGGCGGCCCCCUGGACGAAGACUGACGCUCAGGUGCGAAAGCGUGGGGAGCAAAACAGGAUUAGAUACCCUGGUAGUCCACGCUGUAAAACGAUGUCGAUUUUGGAGGUUGUGCCCUUGAGGCGUGGCCUCCGGAGCUAACGCGUUAAAAUCGACCGCCUGGGGAGUACGGCC